rnacentral:rRNA from 1 species
ACGCUCGACACCUACGGGGGCAGCAGUGGGGGAUAUUGCACAAUGGGGGAAACCCUGAUGCAGCGACGCCGCGUGAGUGAAGAAGUAUUUCGGUAUGUAAAGCUCUAUCAGCAGGGAAGAGAAUGACGGUACCUGAGUAAGAAGCCCCGGCUAACUACGUGCCAGCAGCCGCGGUAAUCUGAGGCGGCUGGCAAGGC